rnacentral:misc_RNA from 1 species
ACUUUUAGUACUAUUUUUGUUGCAUUUUGUGUUAUUCAAAAUUCUUCAUCAUUUUGAUUUUGUUUUGUUAAUUUCAAUACAAGAACAUGAAUUCAUCGCGAAAAAUUAACUUUAGUACUACAGGAACUGAUCCAGACGAUAAUUUCAGUGUACCUGAAACCCUAUCUGUUUCAAUGACUUCAAAACUUUCAAAGAGAAAGUCGUCACCAGUUGCAUUUAAAUUGCCAGAAGAAGAACUUGAUGAAAAAUUCCCAAAUGCGAAAAAAUGUUCUAAUUUUCUCGACAUAACAAGUGUGUGUGAAGAAUUUGUCGGUGGAAUUUUACAAGCGGGAUUAAAAGAAGCUGAAGAUAUCUUAUUGAAUAGAAGUUUUACGAUACAACGAUCAACCCAAGAAGAUGGCCCAAAAUUGAACAAUUUUCAAUUCGAUUAGGUCUUCAAAAACUCCAUGAAUUUAUGAAUUUUUGGAUGUAUGAAGAAGAUUGGCUUUUUGAUAUUGAAUAUAACAGCGGUUGGAGUGAUUUAGUUCAGGAUUAUUAUUUAUAUGAAAGCGUUUGGAGUAUUCCAACUAAAGAGUAUCCUGUUGCACAAGCCACAGCAAGUAUUUUCUUCACAUACGAAGUGUCCAGAAUUAAACCAAAAUGUUGCGCGGUUGAAAUUUAUUACACGUUUGAAGGGCAACUAACGAAAUUUGCUCCAACAAAAGAAACUAAUCCGGAAAAAUGUCUUUUCAGCAUCGUUGAUGCUAAACUAAAAUUUUUUGAAACUUUAAGGUUUUAAUCAAAAUUAAUUGGUUUUCUUUUUAAAUAAACGAAUCCUU